rnacentral:rRNA from 1 species
AUUGAACGCUGGCGGCAUGCCUAACACAUGCAAGUCGAACGGCAGCACGGGGGCAACCCUGGUGGCGAGUGGCGGACGGGUGAGGAAUACAUAGGAAUCUGCCCAGUCGUGGGGGAUAACGCAGCGAAAGCUGCGCUAAUACCGCAUACGAUCUGUGGAUGAAAGCGGGGGACCGUAAGGCCUCGCGCGAUUGGAGCGGCCGAUGUCAGAUUAGGUAGUUGGUGGGGUAAAGGCUCACCAAGCCAACGAUCUGUAGCUGGUCUGAGAGGACGACCAGCCACACUGGGACUGAGACACGGCCCAGACUCCUACGGGAGGCAGCAGUGGGGAAUUUUGGACAAUGGGCGCAAGCCUGAUCCAGCAAUGCCGCGUGCAGGAAGAAGGCCUUCGGGUUGUAAACUGCUUUUGUACGGAACGAAAAGGCUCUGGUUAAUACCUGGGGCUCAUGACGGUACCGUAAGAAUAAGCACCGGCUAACUACGUGCCAGCCGCCGCAGUAAUAC